rnacentral:lncRNA from 1 species
UGGGAUCGAUUUCCGGGGAAACCCCCGAAUUAGUCGGGAGCACGAGAAUAUGGCUAGUUGCUGAAAUGUGGAGUUGAGGUCACAGUUGAUGGAUCAGAUUCGUACGCUGGAUUGGUGGCGAUUGCCGAACUCUCCGUCUCUUCGGAUAUUCGGGUGAAUGGAUGAGGAGGGGUCCCUGAAGGCUGGAUCCGCCGCCUUGGACUUACAGUUCGUAUGGUGAAGACAGUGUGGUAGUGGUGGAUGGUGCUAUAAGGUGAUAAAUCGUAGAACUGACAAUGUGAUAAAGCGGCCCAGAAGCCUCCCACUCUGUAACAUUACAUUACAUUACAUUACAUUACAUAUGUAGAGCCAAGCAUGCACGCUUGCUCACACGCACACCUGCGGCUGCCUGCCCCCGAGUCAGCCCACCAGAAAGUGUUAUCAACCUGCAAAAUUAUUAUUCACCUGACUGCAUU